CCUCUCUCCACAUAUACAGCCAGGUUAAAACCACCUGUCUCCUCUCUCCACAUAUACAGCCAGGUUAAAACCACCGGUCUCCUCUCUCCACAUAUACAGCCAGGUUAAAACCACCUGUCUCCUCUCUCCACAUAUACAGCCAGGUUAAAACCACCUGUCUCCUCUCUCCACAUAUACAGCCAGGUUUAAACCACCGGUCUCCACUCUCCACAUAUACAGCCAGGUUAAAACCUCCUGUCUCCUCUCUCCACUUAUACAGCCAGGUUAAAACCACCUGUCUCCUCUCUCCACAUAUACAGCCAGGUUAAAACCACCUGUCUCCUCUCUCCACAUAUACAGCCAGGUUAA
ensembl:lncRNA